UACGGGGGGGGCAAGCGUUGUUCGGAAUUACUGGGCGUAAAGGGCGCGUAGGCGGUUUGCUAAGUUGAAUGUGAAAACUCUGGGCUUAACCCAGAGCCUGCAUUCAAUACUGGCAGGCUAGAGUUCUGGAAGGGAUAGCGGAAUUCCUGGUGUAGCGGUGAAAUGCGUAGAUAUCAGGAGGAACACCGGUGGCGAAGGCGGCUAUCUGGACAGAGUCUGACGCUGAGGCGCGAAAGCUAGGGGAGCAAACAGG
rnacentral:rRNA from 1 species